GUGCUUGCUUCUGCAGCACAUAUACUAAGAUUGGAAUGAUACAGAGAAGAAUAGAAUAGUCCCUGCACAAGGAUGGCAUGCAAAUUUGUAAAUAAUUCCAUGUUUUA